rnacentral:rRNA from 1 species
AGAGUUUGAUCCUGGCUCAGGACGAACGCUGGCGGCACGCUUAACACAUGCAAGUCGAACGAGAGAAGAGGAGCUUGCUUUUCUGAUCUAGUGGCGGACGGGUGAGUAACACGUGAGCAAUCUGCCUUUCAGAGGGGGAUACCGAUUGGAAACGAUCGUUAAUACCGCAUAACAUAAUUGAACCGCAUGAUUUGAUUAUCAAAGAUUUAUCGCUGAAAGAUGAGCUCGCGUCUGAUUAGCUAGUUGGUAAGGUAACGGCUUACCAAGUCGACGAUCAGUAGCCGGACUGAGAGGUUGAUCGGCCACAUUGGGACUGAGACACGGCCCAGACUCCUACGGGAGGCAGCAGCGGGGAAUAUUGCACAAUGGAGGAAACUCUGAUGCAGCGAUGCCGCGUGAGGGAAGAAGGUUUUAGGAUUGUAAACCUCUGUCUUCAGGGACGAAAAAAGACGGUACCUGAGGAGGAAGCUCCGGCUAACUACGUGCCAGCAGCCGCGGUAAUACGUAGGGAGCGAGCGUUGUCCGGAAUUACUGGGUGUAAAGGGAGCGUAGGCGGGAUCGCAAGUCAGAUGUGAAAACUAUGGGCUUAACCCAUAAACUGCAUUUGAAACUGUGGUUCUUGAGUGAAGUAGAGGUAAGCGGAAUUCCUAGUGUAGCGGUGAAAUGCGUAGAUAUUAGGAGGAACAUCAGUGGCGAAGGCGGCUUACUGGGCUUUAACUGACGCUGAGGCUCGAAAGCGUGGGGAGCAAACAGGAUUAGAUACCCUGGUAGUCCACGCCGUAAACGAUGAUUACUAGGUGUGGGGGGACUGACCCCUUCCGUGCCGCAGUAAACGCAAUAAGUAAUCCACCUGGGGAGUACGACCGCAAGGUUGAAACUCAAAGGAAUUGACGGGGGCCCGCACAAGCAGUGGAGUAUGUGGAUUAAUUCGAAGCAACGCGAAGAACCUUACCAGGUCUUGACAUCGUAUGCAUAGCUCAGAGAUGAGUGAAAUCUCUUCGGAGACAUAUAGACAGGUGGUGCAUGGUUGUCGUCAGCUCGUGUCGUGAGAUGUUGGGUUAAGUCCCGCAACGAGCGCAACCCUUACUGUUAGUUGCUACGCAAGAGCACUCUAGCAGGACUGCCGUUGACAAAACGGAGGAAGGUGGGGAUGACGUCAAAUCAUCAUGCCCCUUAUGACCUGGGCCUCACACGUACUACAAUGGCUGUCAACAGAGGGAAGCAAAGCCGCGAGGUGGAGCGAACCCCUAAAAGCAGUCUUAGUUCGGAUUGUAGGCUGCAACCCGCCUACAUGAAGUCGGAAUUGCUAGUAAUCGCAGAUCAGCAUGCUGCGGUGAAUACGUUCCCGGGCCUUGUACACACCGCCUGUCACGCCAUGGGAGUCGGUGUCACCCGAAGCCUGUAGUCUAACCGCAAGGAGGACGCAGUCGAAGGUGGGAUUGAUGACUGGGGUGAAGUCGUAACAAGGUA